UUUCUGUCGGUUAAAACAAGGAACACGCCACCGUUUUAUGAAAUUGGGUUAUUCACCGUCUCCCCUAGAGAGUUAGAUAAGUGAGCAAAAGCAUUUUUGUCUCC